rnacentral:rRNA from 1 species
UACGGAGGGGGCCAGCGUUGUUCGGAAUUAUUGGGCGUAAAGGGCGCGUAGGCGGCCGAGUCAGUCUGGCGUGAAAUCCCCCGGCCCAACCGGGGAACUGCGCUUGAAACUGCUCGGCUCGAGUCCGGGAGAGGGUAGCGGAAUUCCCAGUGUAGCGGUGAAAUGCGUAGAUAUUGGGAGGAACACCGGUGGCGAAGGCGGCUACCUGGACCGGUACUGACGCUGAGGCGCGAAAGCUAGGGGAGCAAACAGG